rnacentral:rRNA from 1 species
GCAAGUGGAACGCACAGAUGAUACGUAGCUUGCUACAAUUAUCUGUGAGUCGCGAACGGGUGAGUAACGCGUAGGUAACCUAGCUUAUAGCGGGGGAUAACUAUUGGAAACGAUAGCUAAUACCGCAUAAAAGUGGUUAACCCAUGUUAACUAUUUAAAAGGAGCAACAGCUCCACUAUGAGAUGGACCUGCGUUGUAUUAGCUAGUUGGUAGGGUAAAGGCCUACCAAGGCGACGAUACAUAGCCGACCUGAGAGGGUGAACGGCCACACUGGGACUGAGACACGGCCCAGACUCCUACGGGAGGCAGCAGUAGGGAAUCUUCGGCAAUGGGGGGAACCCUGACCGAGCAACGCCGCGUGAGUGAAGAAGGUUUUCGGAUCGUAAAGCUCUGUUGUUAGAGAAGAACAGUGAUGGGAGUGGAAAGUCCAUCAUGUGACGGUAACUAACCAGAAAGGGACGGCUAACUACGUGCCAGCAGCCGCGGUAAA